rnacentral:lncRNA from 1 species
ACGCACCGAGCACACAUUUGUCCCACGCAUGAAGUCUUUUUAGAAUUUCUAAUACAUACGGAGAGGGAGUAGUGCAGGUAGGUGAUAAUUAGUGCUCAGGAGUGACCAAUCAAAAGCAUGCUGAAACAAAACCUGAAAACUAACCCUUUUCAUCUCACUAAGUGGAAAUGCUCUGUUUUUGCCUUGAAGAAAUCCACAACUGCUUCAAUUCCAGCAUUCUAACCUUCCCAAACUGAAAUGCUGCUGCUGCCCUGUUUUUUUUAUCAAAUUCUCUACCUGUGCCAGCGCCUAUCUGAGCUCCUUGUACGGCAGAACCUGCAGAACAAGAACCUCAUGAGCAAGAAUCUGAAGAAUACUGCUGAAAGAACAAGAACCUGAAGAAAGUCACAAUUAAGGUGAUACUGAUGAAAGUGCAUUUUACUGUGCUUUUGACAUUAUUAUUUGAAGGAGCAAAUGCUCAAAUUGAAACAGAUUAUUUGGGUAUGGUACUUUAAUUCCAGAUGAUCAACAAAUGUCAUGUUUUGAUUCAUGGAUCAUGCAUAUAUAUCCUGCCAUUCCAGCUCAAGUUAGACUAAUGCAGCAAGACCAUAAACAUGUACUCCUGGUAUACAGCGGAGCAUACGGCAUACAGCGGAGCAAGCUAAUGCUGCUACACUGCUGAAUUAAACAUUCUUUGCCUAAGAUGUCUAUGCAUUAAUGUAAUGCAUGAAAGUCACUACAAACAAGCAAAUACUCUUGUUUUCUGUAGUACUCAUGUUAUCAAGCAGAAAAGGAAAAGAAGAGAAAAGAAACAACAUUCAUGGGAGUGGGAGAUGCUUCUGAUAAUCUGAUGCCAAAAAGAAAUGAAGAAAAUAAUGAUGUCUUUGUACAUACGGCCAUAAACCCCAAUGAUAGAGCGAGCAUGAACACUGAACAGGGAAAGCAAACGGUGCUCCGGCCUCCGGAUCCAGUCAGAAAACGAUCAAGGCAUCACGUUCCCAAAUCCUACCUCACCUGGUCAUUAUCAGUCCCUUUAAUGUUCUGGAUCAGGAGCAAGGUGUACUCCUCCCUGCCUUUUUGUUUGCCCUAAUCCUACUCCCCUUUUUUGAAAGGGGUUUUUGUUUUGGAAUUGGAAUUCUUAUCCGAAUAAGCAGAUCCUUCAGUAUCACUGCCAUUUCUGUAGCAUUCCUUAAUGGUAGUGUUCUUUUUUCCUUAUUGUGUGAUCUGAAUAAGCACAUUCCCAAAGCUAUAAGAUGCUUUAACUGAACAUUUACAGACAUCUGUUACUACUGGAUAAUCACCACAUUACUACUACUGGUCACUACACUACAUGGUCAGAUUUGAGAAGAGAGCGAACUUUGGCUACAUAAGAUAUUGUACAUACCAAUAGAAAGAAAUGGCCCAUGUGUCCAUAGCAAUAGAAAGAAUUACUCUAGCACAUUUGUACUUGCUGCAGAAAUUAUAUGUUUGGUCACAACUACUCAGGGUAUAUAAUCUCCUACUCCAAAUAGCUAUAAACAGAUAGAAUCAGUAGCAACUCCAAAUUAAAUGACCAUAGUAAUUAGGAACAAUUUGCUGUAAAUUUACUCCUGAUAUUAGGAGUACUGUAAUUUACUCCUGACAUUUUGCAAGAUUACUACUGGUACAUUUAAACAGAACAAUUUGCUGAAAAAGGAGUACAUCAUGAUGAUGAACAAGUACUCCAGCAGUUAACAGGAACAAAUCAUUGCAGCAACACAUGAAUUAAACCAUGUCACAAGUCCAGUGCUAGCUAUCUGUGGCACCAUAGAGAAGAGGAGGAACUCACCUAGGUGGUUGUAGUCGAGGUAGAAGCUCGUCGCCGCCGUCCCUGCACGGCGAGGAAGAAGCUGCAGCACCGAGAGAGCCACGUCUUUAACAGUAACAGUAACAAUCUAUUACCUGCAAGAAGAAUGAAGAAAAUCUCUUGGAUUACAGUACACUCACAUAGUUAUUGCUGUGGCCAAGAAUAAAAUGUUUAAACACUGAAUUUACUCCAAGAACUUAAACAACAAUCUAGAAUAUUGAAGUACAGCAAGCAGCAGAGAUAUCAUCCUCCCACACUUGUUCCUUUGUUCUUAAGAAGAUAAACAUCAUCAUAGUACUCGAAUUACAGAAAAGUUCCAGAAAUAAUGACUGAAACUUGGAAGCUGGGCCACAAUCAGGAGUAAUUGUAGCAAUGAGGAACUAGCGAAAAUACUGCACUCCUAAUUAACUCUGAACAUGGAUUGAUUACUCAUCGAGGAGACGCAGAACGCUGCGGCCAGAGAAGCAGCAAUGAAAAUGAGACGAAGAAUGUUGGGCAUCAAUUACUCUUAGGAAGAUUUGGAACCACCGCAGAUUAAGUCGAGAAAGGGAAGCACCACGGAUUAAGGCGAAAUUACUCCAUCUAUCUGUCAGUGCACUCUCCGCCCGCCAUGGAGGACA